UACAGAGGUCUCAAGCGUUGUUCGGAUUCAUUGGGCGUAAAGGGUGCGUAGGCGGCGCGGUAAGUCGGGUGUGAAAUCUCGGAGCUUAACUUCGAAACUGCAUUCGAUACUGCCGUGCUUGAGGACUGGAGAGGAGACUGGAAUUUACGGUGUAGCGGUGAAAUGCGUAGAUAUCGUAAGGAAGACCAGUGGCGAAGGCGGGUCUCUGGACAGUUCCUGACGCUGAGACACGAAGGCCAGGGGAGCAAACGGG
rnacentral:rRNA from 1 species